GGAGAGGUGGCCGAGUGGCUUAAGGCGCACGCUUGGAAAGCGUGUGGGCAGCAAUGUCUCCAGGGUUCGAAUCCCUGUCUCUCCGCAA
rnacentral:tRNA from 1 species